GAUGAACGCUAGCGGCAGGCCUAAUACAUGCAAGUCGAACGGGAUUAAGAGGCUUGCUUCUUAUGAGAGUGGCGCACGGGUGCGUAACACGUAUGCAACCUACCUUCAACAGGGGGAUAGCCUUCCGAAAGGGAGAUUAAUACCGCAUAACAUAAUUGAACGGCAUCGUUUGAUUAUCAAACUCACAAGGGUUGAAGAUGGGCAUGCGUCCGAUUAGUUAGUUGGUGAGGUAACGGCUCACCAAGUCAUCGAUCGGUAGGGGAUCUGAGAUGAGGACCCCCCACACUGGUAAAGAGACCCGGACCAGGAGCCGACGAAAGGCAGCCGUAAGGAAAAUAGGUCAAUGGACCGAGGCCUGACCCAGACUUGCCGCGUGCAGGAAGACGUUUCUCUGACUUGUAAACUGCUUUUGUUAGGGCAGAAACCCUCGUAUGCGUAAGAGGCUGACGGUACCUAAAGAAUAAGGAUCGGCUAACUCCGUUCCAGCCGCCGCCGUAAAAC
rnacentral:rRNA from 1 species